rnacentral:lncRNA from 1 species
UAAAAUUCCGGUCAUAACCCAAGUUGUUUAUAUGUCAGGCCGGUAAUAACUUGAGGGUCCACUGUACUCUGUAGACUUUUCUGGAAAAUUCUUACUUCUGGGGAAUUUUCUUAAAUAGUAAUUUCCCCUCCAUUUUCUGUUUCCUUGUUUUGGUACGGUCGUUACUAAGAUGUCAGACAUAAUUUCUUAUUUUUUUCUGUUGUCUACCUCUUUUUACUUUAAUGUGAAUUUUUCCAUCAUUUUUUUGUUUUAAUUUGAAAGCUUUAAUUUUCUGCCUCUUCUAUUUUUAAAUUUCUCUAUAAUAUUUUUACCAAGAACUUUUUAAUACUGCAAUGUCUUUUUAUACAGCAUCCCCUUCUUUUUUUUUUUUUUUGGCACUGGAGAUCAAACUCGGGACCUUGUGCUUGCAAGGCAGGUGCCAGAACCACUGAGCUAAAUCCCCGGCCCCAUCAGCAUCCCCUUCUUAUUUCAUGGAUGGAAUGUUUUAUCUCUUUGAAGAGACAAAUUUUGUGUAUUUCUAUGACAUCUGUAUGUAUGUUUUGAAUGUGGUACACUUGCCCUCAGGUGAACCUGGUGUCCUCUAGCCACAGUAAUUCUAAGAAGCCAUUAGGGACAAAACCUUCACUCUCCUUUUGGGAGAGAAGCAGUUAUUCAACUGUGUAAAUUUAGAGAAGAAUCUAGUGUCUUACCUGUUUUGUACAAAAACUGGUUGAAACCAAUUUCCUGGUUCAUCUUACCUUCACUGCAGCUUUGAGUGAGACUUAGUACCUCCAAACCCAAGCCAUUAGGGAACAAAUUAGUUUCAUCUUGGAUUCACUUAUUUGCUGGUUUAAGAAUUCACCAUAUCAUUAACAUAUGCUGUUUGGUGGCUUUGAAGGAUAAUUUUUUCUGCCUUUUUUUUUUCAAGUGGGAAAAGCAAAGAUGAACAAUUUCCAGUUACCUCAGCCUGAAGCCUUUAAUAAUGAAGAUGAGGACAGAUUGUCCGAGAUUUCUGCUCGCUCCGCAGCUUCUAGUCUCCGGGCUUUUCAAACUCUGACACGGGCUCAGAAAAGGAAGGAGAAUUUCUGGGGCAAAACAUAAACCUAUCUUGAGUUUGUUUUCUUAUGCACAGAACCAUUGGCAUAAUUUUCCUUAAUUGAUCACUAUGUUAGGAAUUUUUGAGUGAUUGAAUUUUCUUCUGGUAUUUCCAAGUUAAAUUAUUUGAUUUUUUUCAUUAGAUCGUUUUACUUGGAAAAUUUUAGCUUACACAAAUUUAACUUCUAAAAAAUUCUUUUAUGUCUCUCCCCAAAUACAAAGGUAGAGAUUAUGUAGUUCUUCACAUGUUCUUUCUUCUGUAUUAGGGGUUGGGGAUAGCUGGGAGAGUUGUGAAUUUCUCCUGUCCUGAGAAUAUUCUGAAGAGAUGAAGUGAAGUGAAAAAUUAAGAUCCAAAUGUGGAGUAUGUAUUCCUCUAAGACUGGUUCUUUGUAUCUUUGUAGACAUAAAAUGAAUUUUGUUGUCUCUUUAACUUUGCUUUAGUGUUUCUUUAUUUUUGUACCUUCUAUAUAUGGAUGCAGCAUUAUUUAAGAUAAUUGUACUUUGAAAUUACCAGCUGUAUAUAUUUUUCUUAUUUAUGUAACACAGUUUGGUGAGAGAAUAUGUAUAUUUUUGAUCUUUGUGUGUAUUCUAUUUGUAUAAUAACUUUGGCUUAGAUUUAAAUAAUGUCUGGAUUUUGAAAAAUUUGUAUAAUGGAAGACUAAAAUUUUGUAGAUGUUUUAAAAUAAAAAUUGUUCAAGUGUGUUUGUCUUCUCUAGAAGGUUAUUGUAUGGAACAGGUUAAUCAAAAGUUAUAAUACCAUUACAACUGUAAAAAUGCAGUGCGACUAAAUCUACAACUUUUUAUAUAAAUGUAGGACAAAUAUGGAAUUUUAAAAGCAGGCUCAUUUUAAAAAAUUUAACACACAUUUUGAUUAUAUUCACUCAUAGGACUUUCCAUGGUCUUACUCUGUUUUUACAAAUCACAAUAAAUUUAUUUCUAAAAAUAGGGAUUUUUUAUAAAACAUAAGAUUUUUACAAUAAUACAUAAAAAGUACUGAAAAUAAAAUAUAAAGAAUAUUAAUGCUUCUAAAGUGCUUAAUUUGGUCAAAAGUGCUUUUACACAUCAUUGGUUCACAAUAAGUUUGUUAAAGAUCUCAUGUGAGGUUGUAAAGAAUUAUAGACAUACAAAUAUUUGCUUAUAUUCCACUGACCUUUUAAAAUAAUUUAUUCAUAAAGAAACUUAUGGAGACACUAAACAUGGAAAUAAAAGUUUGGAAUUGUGGAAUAAUUGGAUUUUAGAACAUAAAUUGGCUUCUAGACAAUUGUGUUCUGAGCCAUAUUGGUUGUAAAAUAAUUUUGGAACUGGCUGUCCCUGUAGAAGCUUUGAGAUAGUAACCAUUUUCCUUUUAAGAAGUUCAUUAGUUUAGUUGGCUAGGACAGUUUUCAGUGACUUCCUGUCUGUGGUAAAGAAAUUACAACAAACUUUUAGGGUCUUAACUCACAGUCCUACGUUAAAGUACAGACUGAUAUCUGGGUGUACUUAUUGUAGUGAAUCACACACGAACUUCAUCUACCAGUUAUUAGACUAGAGUAUAGUUUUCAUGAGACAAGGUCGUGAUCCUAGUGUCUUUCUUAUCUCAUGAUUUAACUGUACAGUAUACUACUGACUACCUCUAUCUUAAUAACUCAGUGGUCCAGGUGGAAAAUAGUGUUGAGGAAUCAUUACUGUUUGAUCAUGUGUACUAGAGAAUAAUUUGAAGGACAUAAAUUUGAGUUGAUGGGUAUUCUUGAUAACAUGGGAACUGUCUCGUGAGAUUUGCUAGUAUUGAGGAACUGAUUGCUAAUUCAGUUUGUACCAAUUUUAUGUAUAAUUGGGAAUGUUAAAUAUUAUAGCUCACUGAGUUUGGACACAUGUAUGCAUCUGUGAAGCCAUACCACAAUGAAGAUAUACUUCCAUCACCCUGAAAGCAUUGGCAUUUCCCUCUACAAUCAAUCUCUUUUCAUCCCUAUUCCCCAGGGUAGCUGUUAAUUUGCUUUCUGUUGGUAAUAUUAACUUGGAAAAGUGUUACAAAGAUGAAAUCAUCUUUUGUGCCUAGCUUUUGCUUAGUAUAUUUUUUGAGAGUCAUUCUUGUUUCAGUGUGCAUGUUCUCAUUUAAUCACCCCACUGGUGGAUUUUUGUGUUGUUUGGCAGUUUGAGACCAAAAUGAAUAAAACUGCUGUUCAUAUUUGCGAAUCCUUGUACAGAUACAUGCUUUCAUUUCUCUUUGGAAAAAUACCUAG